AGCCCAAAAUGACGGGGAUGAGUGUCCGACAACUCAUUGUGAGAGUAAACCUUCUGGGUGUUAAAGGAAUGGCGAUAUCCGGACUAGCCCGGGGCAGCUAGCCGUGGGACCAUGGGCUAAUUGCCGCGGGAGGAGCAGGUGGAUUUGAUUCACAGAAAACCCACCUGUGCUCAGGGAGGAGCAGAACUGCAGGUGCUGAGUGGCCGGCGCUAACAACGCCAACGCCGCCUUUAACGUCCUGUCAUUCAGCCGUGGAGUUAAAUUGCCGCGAAAUUAGUUGCUCGUCACUCUGCGGGCGGUCAUUGGCCCCUGGCCGGUCCGCGGACCCCGCGUUGGGAACCAGCGCCCACUCUUGUUUUUGGGGAGAAGGCGCCCACGUGACAGGGGGAAGCAGCAGCCAGCACACCGCCGCUGUUGUCUUGGUAGCUUCCACAGCGCCGGACGGAGAAGUAGUAGGAGGAGGAGGAGAAGGAGAAGGAGAAGAAGGAGGAGAAGAAGAAGAAGGAGAAGAAGAAGAAGGAGAAGAAAAAGAAGAAGAAAGCGGGGCAGAGAGAGAGAGACACACACAAACACGGAGAAAGAGAGACGCUCGUCGAGGGACGACUUGGUCAAAGACAGAAUCUCCGCUUGUAACGUGAGAACUCCGCAGGCUCCUCCACACGGCACGGCACGGCACGGCACGGCUGGCACGCACCAUGGACGGUUAUGCCCGGACCGAAGACGAGCUGUUCUCCGCCUGCCUCCUGAACCUCACCUGGGAGAAUUGCUACGAGCAGUCCUUCUCUCACCUUAUGGUUGCAGACCGCAUCAAACAAAAUUGUUGUUUGCGAAUGGGGAGCCAGUGAGGGAUCAUGCUGCUGCUGUUUCACUAGCGACAACCCCCAAUCCGCACAUCAUGCUGGAGAGUGAGCUGCUUCGUGUGGAGCACCCAGAACUACUCCCACCUCUUACAACAACCCCCAAAGGAAUAUAUCUAAUUUCCACGUUGGUUUCAGGAGGGGCGGGGGGUGUUCCUUUGAUUAUCUCCGCUGCCGAUUAAUUGCUUUUCUUAACCUCUGCACAGACGUGCUCCUACACCGCCCCGAAGCCUGCCGCACGCGCUCAGAUGGACCCCUGCCAGGAAAAAAACAAACCCCACCAUGCUUCUAUCUCCCCACCUUCUCCCAAUUACUGACCUUCAUCAUUUCUUUUCGCCUUGGAUGUUAUCAUUGGCAUUAUCAGUGUAUUUACUUUGUUUGUUUAGCUUGUUACUUGGCGCAUUGCAGCAUUCUUGGCUAGAUUUUAAGGCGGGCUGAGCAUGUGUGAGAAGUGUAUUAAUUUCUGGGAAUAGUUACAGCAGUAGAUGAGAUGAGUGUAUGUUGUUAAGUAAGUGUAUUAUCUGUCAUAUAGUGUCUGUGGGUCACCAACUGACAUGGGGGGGUUGCAGGAAUAUUACACUGCCUUUACUGCCUUUUUUGGAAAUGUCCUUAUUCCAUUAUUUAAUAGAUUUUGGCCUUGAGUUGUGCUGGCCAAGCACAACACUGAGUGCUCUUUUCCAUCUCACUUUUUGCCUGUGAGACUCACAUGUUCAUCAGGUCUCUGGAAAGGUCCCAGCACCUGCCUCCAAACACUGUCAUAUAGCAGUGGCCUGGCUCCUUCAGACCAUGGCCGUUUUGAUUUAUUUUUCUCUUGAGGACAUCCUGAAUGCAUGUUCAGGAACCAUCUCAGGGAUUUAUACACUACAUGUCACGUGCAGACCACUUAGUGUACCGUCACUGUUUGGACUGAGCUAAAAAAU